AUGCAUGGGCUUUCCCAAGUUCCUCUCCUGAUGUUCCCUCCCCUUAAGGAUGAUAAUUUGGUGGCCAUUUGCUCGUUUUUGAGAAAGCCAAGCAUGAGAACAAAAACAUUUAGAGGAAGACAGCCCAAUGUCAUGUAAGUAUUUGUAUAUUUGUUCUUACCAUGGCACACAAGGGACGUAGCGACCCCCCCCCCCUCAACUCAACGCUGGAUAUUAUUUAAGCUCUGCCAUCAUACUCCAGUGCUUUCCAAGAGCUGAGGAUUUUUGCAUUUCUUCCCGUAGGAACUGUAAACUCAAAAAGAUUCUCCUGCAAUAAAUUGUAUCCAUUUUAUUUUCUGAAAUAGCUACUUUUUAAAAAUAUAUGCUAAGAAAAAGUAAAGGGGAGAGAGAGGGCCCCUAUUUGUGAAUCGUGCUCUUUGUUUAUUCAUACUAUUUCCAAGACCAGGCAAAUUAUCAUAAUCUUCCCAACAGAGAUACACAAUUCCACCUAAGAAUUACUGUUUUCCUAAACCAGUGAAAAAAGCAAAGUUUCCAAUAGAUGCUGAGAUAAAUCAUGUGUAUGUGCUUAUAUGUGCACCCUAGCAAUUCCUUUUGAAUUUCAAGGUUAUAAAUAAUUCCCAAGCCCAACUUUGUGUCGGUAUUUUAAUAUGGAUUAUUUGUACUCCUCUGCUGGUGUCAUUUCUUCUGAUUUAAUCAUUAUCCCUUAUGGGCUGGCACCAGUCCAUUCAGCAUUCUGACGGGACCAAGCCACCAUCCCACCUAAGAAUAUCAAUUAUGUUGUGAAAGCAUACAAUUUGAUUCAUGCAGAAACCACUGUAUAUGCAUCAUGGUGUUUUCAUAAAGACUCUCUUAUUUACUCUAAACAGUGUUAUGACUUUCACUGUACGGCCACAUAGUAACUGUUUAACCUUCUUAAGUCUUUUCAAGAAACCUUAAAGGAGAAAAAGGAGAGCUUGGCCUCAAAAAUACAUUUUCUGUUCUUAUAAAAAUCGGCUCCUCUCUGAAUAGCUGAAAUGAGGCAAAGCUUCAAAGCGGCAGCCUAGAGUGCCAUAAGUACUGUUCUGUAGAGACGGCUCUCCAACCAUGUCUGAGCGGGCAAAAGAAAGGAACUUUCUGCCAGCUGAAUGUAUGUUUCCCAACGUCUUCCCCUCAUGCAGAUCUAAGAAGGAUGCUGGACUAGAAUCCCUAGUCGGUUUCCUACUUCAGGCUUGUUAGCAAGGGAUUCCCACAGUAAAAUCCGGAUGCACACACACACACCCCAUCCCACUCCUUUGCUCACUCAGGAUUAUCAGGACUUAGCCCUAGGCCAGCUCUGCUAUCUGUGCUGCCAAGACUUCUAGAGACAAAAGAAGUUCAAAUGAGCCGAUCAUCUGAUUGAAAAGGCCUCCCUUUGCCCUUAUUAAAUGGGAUCAUGGUGGGCAAGACUCAUCCACGCCGAUCAAGCCUUUUGAUCCUAUAGACCAAACCACCUUCAUCCUCUCCAUACUGUGAACACACCUAC
rnacentral:lncRNA from 1 species